GACGAACGCUGGCGGCGUGCUUAACACAUGCAAGUCGAACGGAAAGGCCCUGCUUUUGUGGGGUGCUCGAGUGGCGAACGGGUGAGUAACACGUGAGUAACCUGCCCUUGACUUUGGGAUAACUUCAGGAAACUGGGGCUAAUACCGGAUAGGAGCUCCUGCUGCAUGGUGGGGGUUGGAAAGUUUCGGCGGUUGGGGAUGGACUCGCGGCUUAUCAGCUUGUUGGUGGGGUAGUGGCUUACCAAGGCUUUGACGGGUAGCCGGCCUGAGAGGGUGACAGGCCACCUGGGGACUGAGAUACGGCCCAGACUCCUGAGGGAGGCAGAGGUGGGAAAUAUUGCACAAUGGGCGGAAGCCUAAUGCAGCAACGCCGCGUGCGGGAUGACGGCAUUUGGGUGGUAAACCGCUUUCGCUUGUGACGAAGCGUGAGUGACGGGAAUGGGUAAAGAAGCACCGGCUAACUACGU
rnacentral:rRNA from 1 species